GAGACAGCAGUCGCCGCGGUAAUACGAGGGGGGCAAGCGUUGUUCGGAAUUAUUGGGCGUAAAGGGUGCGUAGGCGGUUUGAUAAGUCUUGUGUGAAAUCUAUGGGCUCAACCCAUAGUCUGCAUAGGAAACUGUCGGGCUUGAGAGUGGGAGAGGUGAGUGGAAUUUCCGGUGUAGCGGUGAAAUGCGUAGAUAUCGGAGGGAACACCUGUGGCGAAAGCGGCUCACUGGACCAUUUCUGACACUGAGAGACGAAAGCUAGGGGAGCAAAUGGGAUUAGAUACCCCGGUAGUCCCUGUCUCUUAUAC
rnacentral:rRNA from 1 species